rnacentral:rRNA from 1 species
CACACAUUUCGAAUCCCCCCGGGGAGUUGUAAUUUGAAGAUUGCGUCUUGGAGGCGACCGUGUCUAUGUUCCUUGGAACAGGACGUCACAGAGGGUGAGAAUCCCGUGCGGCACGGCCCCCGGCUCCUUAUAAGGCGCUCUCGACGAGUCGAGUUGUUUGGGAAUGCAGCUCAAAGUGGGUGGUAAAUUCCAUCUAAAGCUAAAUACAGGCGAGAGACCGAUAGCGAACAAGUACAGUGAUGGAAAGAUGAAAAGCACUUUGAAAAGAGAGUGAAACAGCACGUGAAAUUGUUGAAAGGGAAGGGCAUGCCGUCAGAUUGUCAGUGUGGGUAAGAAGCGGGGUACAAAGACUGUGGAACGUGGCCCUCGGGUGUUAUAGCCGCAGUUCAUGCCCCGUCUCUUUCCGAGGCCUGCUUUGAGGACACCGACGUAAUGACGGUACGCCGC